rnacentral:lncRNA from 1 species
CCAGGGUUGUUGUUAGGUUCUAAUGAAAUCACAUGUGCAAAGAGCCUUUAGCAAACCUUAAAGAGCUUUGGAAAUAUUAAUUAUUAUUAUGACUGUGUCUGGGAAAGACAUAGGGCAAAUGAACCAGGGCUAUGUUUGUGCAGUGAAAGGGUGCUAACAUUUAUGAAAAGAUACCCAAAUGUAGCCUUUCAGAUUCUUUCUUUCUAUUGCCUCAGGUGUCUAGGCUUUGGGGUAGCUCAUUUCCUUAAUCUAAAUCCUGCUGCCCACACCAGAAACCCAGCUAGUUAACAUUGGUACCUGGUCCAGGACUCUUUCUCAGCCUGGGGAAGUCACUCGUUUGUCUCUCUAGGAUCUUCCUUCUUGGUGCCAUGGCUUUGUGGCAUGGCCCAAGUAACUUUCCUGCCCCAGGCAGCAAGAUUCUUGAGGAUGCUUUGGCUCCCUUCUAGUAGAUGGUCCAGAGAUCAGAAAAAGUGAAUCCUGGGCUUUGGUAGGUUUUCUCGGAAGACACUGGUAUCUUCCAGGAAUAGGUGGACAUUCAAUAAAAAUAUCUUCAUUACAAAGAAGACUGAAGCCUCCCUCUGUCUUUACACUUAGUUGGUGGCACAGCAGACAGAAUACUGUAUUCAAGAGUCAGGGAAGCUCAAAUUUGACCUCAGACAUACACAGUACUAGCCACAUCACUCCUGGAGAAGGUGAAGUCAAGGAUCCAGUCACAUUUCAAGCUGUU